AAUUAUGGUGGUUCAGGCAGGGGCUUCUCAGAAGCGCCGGUUUUCGAGUCCGGUAACGCUAACUCUGUCUGAGCCACCACCCGA
rnacentral:antisense_RNA from 1 species